UAAUACGGAGGGGGCGAGCGUUGUUCGGAAUUACUGGGCGUAAAGCGCGCGUAGGCGGCCAUGUAAGUCGGAUGUGAAAGCCCUCAGCUCAACUGAGGAACUGCGUCCGAUACUGCUUGGCUUGAGUCCGGUAGGGGAUGGCAGAAUUCCCGGUGUAGCGGUGGAAUGCGUAGAUAUCGGGAGGAAUACCGAUGGCGAAGGCGGCCAUCUGGGCCGGAACUGACGCUGAGGCGCGAAAGCUAGGGGAGCAAACAGG
rnacentral:rRNA from 1 species